rnacentral:rRNA from 1 species
AGAGUUUGAUCCUGGCUCAGGAUGAACGCUGUUUGGCGUGCUUAACACAUGCAAGUCGAACGAAGCGGUUACAGGGAUUCCCUUCGGGGAGGAACGGUAACUGUCUGAGUGGCGGACGGGUGAGUAACGCGUGGGCAACCUGCCCCAUACCGGGGGAUAACAGCCGGAAACGGCUGCUAAUACCGCAUACGCCCAGGAGGCUGCAUAGCUUCCUGGGGAAAACUCCGGUGGUAUGGGAUGGGCCCGCGUCUGAUUAGCUCGUUGGCGGGGUAACGGCCCACCAAGGCGACGAUCAGUAGCCGGCCUGAGAGGGCGGCCGGCCACAUUGGGACUGAGACACGGCCCAGACUCCUGCGGGAGGCAGCAGUGGGGAAUAUUGCACAAUGGGGGAAACCCUGAUGCAGCGACGCCGCGUGAGCGAUGAAGUAUCUCGGUAUGUAAAGCUCUAUCAGCAGGGAAGAAAGUGACAGUACCUGACUAAGAAGCCCCGGCUAACUACGUGCCAGCAGCCGCGGUAAUACGUAGGGGGCAAGCGUUAUCCGGAUUCACUGGGCGUAAAGGGAGCGCAGGCGGCACGGCAAGUCUGGUGUGAAAACCCGGGGCUCAACCCCGGGACUGCAUUGGAAACUGCCGGGCUGGAGUGUCGGAGGGGUAAGCGGAAUUCCUAGUGUAGCGGUGAAAUGCGUAGAUAUUAGGAGGAACACCAGUGGCGAAGGCGGCUUACUGGACGAUGACUGACGCUGAGGCUCGAAAGCGUGGGGAGCAAACAGGAUUAGAUACCCUGGUAGUCCACGCCGUAAACGAU